rnacentral:rRNA from 1 species
AUGAGCCGAAAACUUUUCCUUAGGAUUGUGAAUUUCAUCCGGAAGUUCGACAACUACUUCAAGUGCAAGAAGGAUUGCACUGACACACUUGGAUUCACCUCAAUCCAGAAGUGCACGACGGCUAUGAGGAUGCUUGCAUACGGAGCUCCCGGUGAUUCACUCGACGACUAUGGGUGCAUGGUCGAGUCAACGACCAUUGAGUGUUUCUACAAGUUCUGCAGGGCAGUGGUGGCAGUGCUUGAACCGCAAUACUUGCGAUCACCCAAUGCUGAAGACACUGCUCGGAUCCUAGCACAGAAUGCAGCAAGAGGAUUUCCUGAGAUGCUUGGAAGCAUCGACUUCAUGCAUUGGAAAUGA